AACGAACGCUGGCGGCGUGCCUAACACAUGCAAGUCGAGCGAGAAAAGGGGAGCAAUCCCCUGAGUACAGCGGCGCACGGGUGAGUAACACGUAGGUGAUCUCCCUCGAGCCCGGAAUAACCUACCGAAAGGUGGGCUAAUACCGGAUAUGACCACGGUAAGUUUCGGCUUCUGCGGUAGAAAGAUGGCCUCUACCUGUAAGCUAUCACUCAAGGAUGAGCCUGCGUGCCAUUAGCUAGUUGGUGAGGUAACGGCUCACCAAGGCUAUGAUGGCUAGCUGGUCUGAGAGGAUGGCCAGCCACACUGGGAC
rnacentral:rRNA from 1 species